CCAGGGAAUUGCUGUGCCUCAUUUGCCUAAAUGAUUCACUCUCAGACCCAUGAGACUUUCCCUUCCCCCAAAAGAAUGUUUCUCUGCAGAGAGGUCGAUGAAAUUUACUGACUGAGGGUAAAUGCUCCAUCUGUGGGGGGAGCGCCGGGCAGAAAUCUCUGAGAGACUGUACUGAGAUAAAGGACAUGGAUCUUCCAGCUAGUUCUCCAAAAGAAAAGACUCCAGCUUAUGAAAAUGUGGGCUGAUGUCGCCUGCAAGCAGCUUCAAGAGGUCAAACUACACUGAAGCCCAGUAAAGAUUCUGUGGCUGAAUUUUUUUCAAGCUACUUCCACUGCAGAAUAGAAACAGGAUAUUUAACAGCUCCGGGCAUUUUUGAGCCAAGGUCUUAUUGCUGCAUAUAUAGGAUUCUGCUGCCGGCAUCAGUGACUGAGCAGCUGCAGGGAUGUUCUUUUCCUCCGUGUGACAUUGAUAAAUGACCUGCAGGAAUGCUUAACAAGGUUUGGAAUAU